CUCUGGUAAUGGACAGGGAGCAGUCCCCGGAGAGAGGGCCACACUUACCCUAAUGACAGUCUCUAGGGUCUCCGUCCAGCCUGAGCACCCUGCAUGGAGCCUGGCCUGAAGUGCUCCAGCUCAGAGGAGGAAGAGGGGGAAGCAGGCACCUUCUGUCCAAAAGGAAGAAGGAACCCAAGACUGAAGACCCACAGCUAAAGAUAUGUGUGAGGCAGGUAUAAGUUCUGUUCUAUGGAUGAACAAUUGGUCUUCAGGUAAAGCACAACUUGUCUAAGGUCAAAUAGCUGGAUGGCUCAGGGGACUGAGCUGGGGAAAAAAAAAAAAAAAAAAAGGCCUCAGAAGGGAAAUGGAGGCCCAGAAAGCUUUGGUGAGCAGCUCGAGAUUACACGGGACAUGGACACCAGAAUUCAUGUUUCCUCAAAUAGUUCAUUUCCAGAGGCCUUUUAGGCUAUUCUAUCAUCUGCCCUCUGUCUGCCUCAGGGGCUCUCCCCUCCAUCCCCCAUUUGGACCAUCAACUGAUGCCAAUGGCACCAAGGAAGCAUCAACUGAUACUGGGCAGAAGGGCAGAGCAGUGGCCCCUGGGAGUCUUCAUGGCUCCUCUGGCAGAAAGUACCUGGAGGCAUCAGCUCACGGACCUGGAGCAUAUCAGCAAGGGUGCAGUCUGACCCUCUCGGAGGCUAUUACGCUGCUGUUGCAAGAUCGACGAGGGGAGAAAAAUGAAAACAGCGCACAGGGAGCAAUGGAGGGCAAAUGGGACUCUUUUAGAACUGGAUCCAUUGAUACGUCAGGCCAAGGAGAAAUGACCACAAGCUCUGAAAAAUGGAGAGCUCCCUCAGACAGCAAAGCCAGCGGAGUGGGCUUCCCCGCUGGGCUGCCCACAGGAAGCGGCCAGGCUGGUGGGGGAAGUAGAGUGUUUCUCUGCAGAAGACUGGGCAGCCUAGGUCCUACAAAAUGAGGUGAAGGUUACUGAGGUCAUUGCUGCCCCUGCCUCAAAUAAAAAAUUAGAAAUCCUCCCCACCCAGCUCUGUUCCUCUCCCCGCAAAGCAUUGCGGAAGACAACACUGAAGCCGCCAGCCCUAUUAUGCAUUCAUGAUUCCAGCUUCAACCAAUCCUCUCUGCUGCAAUCCCUUUAUUCCUCCCCUGCAGCUGCCCCGGCACCUCUGCACAGUCCUUUUUCUGGAUCUGCCCCUCACCGUGCUCCCAUCUGCACCCCGUCCUCAGAACAGAUUGCCUUGCCUGACCUCCUGAGGCCGAUGGAGAUGGAGAUCGUGAUGUAACCCCCUUUGCCCUCCAUCACUGUGCCUCCCACACCUCUGCGCAGCUCGUUCACUCUCUCUCCCUUCACUCUGACUUAAGGGAAGAGGAAUUUUUAAAACCAACCUCAUCCCUUCCCACCUCCUCAGGAAACUCACUCCUUUGCUUACCCUCUCUCCACCUUUAAAAAUAACAAUAAAAACGCCUCUUUCACCUGUGA